rnacentral:rRNA from 1 species
CGCCUGGGGAGUGCGGCCGCAAGGUUAAAACUCAAAUGAAUAGACGGGGGCCCGCACAAGCGGUGGAGCAUGUGGUUUAAUUCGAUGCAACGCGAAGAACCUUACCUACUCUUGACAUCCUGCGAAUUCGGUAGAGAUACCUUAGUGCCUUCGGGAACGCAGAGACAGGUGCUGCAUGGCUGUCGUCAGCUCGUGUCGUGAAAUGUUGGGUUAAGUCCCGUAACGAGCGAAACCCUUGUCCUUAUUUGCCAGCGCGUAAUGGCGGGAACUCUAAGGAGACUGCCGGUGACAAACCGGAGGAAGGUGGGGACGACGUCAAGUCAUCAUGGCCCUUACAAGUAGGGCUACACACGUGCUACAAUGGUCGGUACAAAGGGUUGCCGACUCGCGAGAGUGAGCCGAUCCCGAAAAGCCGAUCUCAGUCCGGAUCGGAGUCUGCAACUCGACUCCGUGAAGUCGGAAUCGCUAGUAAUCGUGGAUCAGAAUGCCACGGUGAAUACGUUCCCGGGCCUUGUACACACCGCCCGUCACACCAUGGGAGUGGACUGCACCAGAAGUGGUUAGCCUAACGCAAGAGGGCGAUCACCACGGUGUGGUUCAUGACUGGGGUGAAGUCGUAACAAGGUAACCGUA